rnacentral:rRNA from 1 species
GACGAACGCUGGCGGCGUGCCUAAUACAUGCAAGUCGAGCGAGCUUGCCUAGAUGAAUUUGGUGCUUGCACCAAAUGAAACUAGAUACAAGCGAGCGGCGGACGGGUGAGUAACACGUGGGUAACCUGCCCAAGAGACUGGGAUAACACCUGGAAACAGAUGCUAAUACCGGAUAACAACACUAGACGCAUGUCUAGAGUUUAAAAGAUGGUUCUGCUAUCACUCUUGGAUGGACCUGCGGUGCAUUAGCUAGUUGGUAAGGUAACGGCUUACCAAGGCAAUGAUGCAUAGCCGAGUUGAGAGACUGAUCGGCCACAUUGGGACUGAGACACGGCCCAAACUCCUACGGGAGGCAGCAGUAGGGAAUCUUCCACAAUGGACGCAAGUCUGAUGGAGCAACGCCGCGUGAGUGAAGAAGGGUUUCGGCUCGUAAAGCUCUGUUGGUAGUGAAGAAAGAUAGAGGUAGUAACUGGCCUUUAUUUGACGGUAAUUACUUAGAAAGUCACGGCUAACUACGUGCCAGCAGCCGCGGUAAUACGUAGGUGGCAAGCGUUGUCCGGAUUUAUUGGGCGUAAAGCGAGUGCAGGCGGUUCAAUAAGUCUGAUGUGAAAGCCUUCGGCUCAACCGGAGAAUUGCAUCAGAAACUGUUGAACUUGAGUGCAGAAGAGGAGAGUGGAACUCCAUGUGUAGCGGUGGAAUGCGUAGAUAUAUGGAAGAACACCAGUGGCGAAGGCGGCUCUCUGGUCUGCAACUGACGUUGAGGCUCGAAAGCAUGGGUAGCGAACAGG